rnacentral:rRNA from 1 species
AUGAAAUACAUUCCUAACUACUUCGGAAAGGCUCAGCUCUCCAAGAUGUUCUUCCUGUUCCCUGAUCCUCACUUCAAGGAGAAGAACCACCGGAGGAGGGUGAUUAGCAUGCAUUUGCUCGAUGAAUACGCUUACGUGAUGGAAGUGGGAGGAAUCAUAUACACUAUUACUGAUAAGCACCCACUCUUCGAAGCUGUUCCCGAGGAAGAGAUAAAAGUCGAUCCAGUUGUGAAGCUACUGUCUAGUGCCACCGAAGAAGGUCAGAAGGUCGCGCGGAAUGGAGGGCAGACUUUCCAGGCCAUCUUCAGGCGCAUCUCCUUGCAAGAGGAAUAA